AAGAAAAUGAUUAAUUUUUCAUUAAAAUUUUUAUACAUUUCGAUCGAAUAAAAUUUGUUUUUAAAUACGUUAUCGAAUUUAAUUGGAAUUAACGAUCGAAAUCAUUUAACUUAAACGUGGCUAGAUUUUUUUAUAGACGUGAGACUAAUGAGGUUAUAAAAGAAUCUACAUAAUUAAGCUAAUUUUUGGCAUUUUCACUUUCCUUUCCCUUGUAAAUCGAAAUGAGACAUUCUCAUCGACGGAGACAAUUGUUGAUGAUGCUUCUCCAUGACAUAAUUAUUUCCUAGGAGUGCCAAAGGUCAGAUGAGAGAAUGUCGAGUAAUAAUAGCAUUACAGUACACGACUAUUGUUGUGCUGCAGGAAGUUGUAGGAGGGUAUUCACUUAGCUCUAAUUGUAAGCUUAACAAACUCCAUGUAACAACGCAUCUCCAUCUAAUAUCAGAAAAUUGUGUUAAAAUCUCAUAUUGUUUAUUUUUCUCUAAAUUUCUUCUUAUAAUAGCCAAUUUUCUUUUCAAAUAAUUAGCUCUAGUAUUCGUGGUCAUUGUUGUUAAUAUUAUAACUUUUUUUUUUUUUUUUAAAAAACGCCCUUUCUGAUUAAAAUUACCUAAAUAGUUUCCUUUAUCUGCGAUAAAUUGAGUUAGAUUAAAGUCAUAAAAACUCUAUAUAAACCAAAUAAUUACAAUUUAUUAAAUUUUCGUGAUGAUUUCCAACGGAACGUUCGUGUAUGUGACACGCUGCACGUAAAUGCCUCCUAGCCUUUAUAUAGAGGAGUUAAUAAAAUGGUCGUUCGAGUAUCAUAGAAUAGAUCUAUUUUAGAGUAUAAAGGCUGCACAGUAUCAAUGAGAUAAGGAAUAAUUUAAUAAAGCUGAAUUUUAUUUGUUACACUGGUUAUCUCAAUGACAAAAGAGUUUGUAACAAAACACCGGCUCGUAGGAUAUACAUAUAAAGAUUAGAGAUCAUUAAUAAUGCAAAAGUACAGUUGUGAAUCAAAUACUAUUCUUUAUGUUUCCUCUUAUUCCUGCU
rnacentral:lncRNA from 1 species